AGAAUAAUUCACAAUGGGGGCAACCCUGAUGGUGCAACGCCGCGUGGAGGAUGACGGUCUUCGGAUUGUAAACUCCUGUCAUCGGGGCGUGAGACCUGGCCGUUAAUAGCGGACAGGGUUGAUAGUACCCGAAGAGGAAGGGACGGCUACCUUCGAGCCAGCAGCCGCGGUAAUCCCAAGGUCCCGAGCGUUGUUCGGAAUCACUGGGCGUAAAGGGAGCGUAGGCGGCGCGGUAAGUCAGAUGUGAAAUCCCGGGGCUCAACCCCGGAACUGCAUCCGAUACUGCCGUGCUAGAGGAUUGGAGAGGUAGCUGGAAUUCUUGGUGUAGCAGUGAAAUGCGUGGAGAUCAAGAGGAACACUCGUGGCGAAAGCGAGCUACUGGACAAUAUCUGACGCUGAGGCUCGAAGGCCAGGGUAGCGAA
rnacentral:rRNA from 1 species